UACAGAGGUGGCUAGCGUUGUUCGGAAUUACUGGGCGUAAAGGGCGCGUAGGCGGCUUGGUCAGUCCCGUGUGAAAUCCCUCGGCUCAACUGAGGAACUGCACGGGAAACUGCCUGGCUUGAGUUCGGGAGAGGGAAGCGGAAUUCCGGGUGUAGCGGUGAAAUGCGUAGAUAUCCGGAGGAACACCGGUGGCGAAGGCGGCUCACUGGACCGGAACUGACGCUGAGGCGCGAAAGCGUGGGGAGCAAACAGG
rnacentral:rRNA from 1 species